rnacentral:RNase_P_RNA from 1 species
AUCGCUGCAUACUUUUAGUAUGAAGAGGAAAGUCCGAGCAAUAUAGAGCACCGUUCUUUUUAAUUGAAAGAUCUUCGUGAGAGGAUAGUAGCGCAGAAGAAAAUAACCGCCAUUGGCUCAUCAUCGGUGGUAAGGGUGAGAAGGUGGUGUAAGAGACCACCAGCGUAGGUAGUGAUAUCGACGGCUGUGUGCCUAACGGAUUGCAAGACCAUGUAAACCAGUGUUUAAGGGCUGCUCGCCUAAGCUGGAGGGUAGGUUGCUAAAGAGUAGAGGUGACUCUACUAUUAGAUAGAUGAUAGAGAAUCUUUUUUAGAUUACAGGACUCGGCUUAUACCCCUUG